GCUUCCUCCAUAAGCCAAAUUAAAUUCUCUGUUCUUCUCUUACACGUCGGUUCCAAGGGACAAGAAAGCAAUUCCCCUUCUUCCUCUUGCACCCACCGAUAGCUAGAACAAGGAAAGGAAGAAAAUACUUCCAGCCCUCACCGUGUAACAAACCUUUCUCUCCCAUUCCAUUUCUCUCUCAAUCUCAAGCCAAGCUUCCAAGUUUCUUCCUUCUCAAGAGGGAAAUAGUAAGAUUAUUGAUGUUCGGUUUUGGACUUCCAGCCAAAGGCUUCGUAUAUCCUCUGUUUUCCUAAGCCGAAUCUAUCUCCAUUCUCCUCAUUUUCAUGUUUCGGAAGGUUUUCACCAAAGGAGUUUAUUUUCAAGAUUCAAGGAACUUACUUGUAAAGCCAUGAGGUAUGAAUGAUGAGGCUGUGGAGCUAGGCACUGCUGAGGAGGGAAGGGUUGAUGCUUAGUAUUCCCUGUCGGUUCGGUUUAAUGAUAAUCGUUAUGUUUUAUGUUUUAUGAUGGGUCCCAUGUCGGGACAUUUUAUUGGUUUGACUUAAAGACAAUAUGUCCUUGGGCAUGAUGUAUAUAUUGAGGUGAGAUGAUAGUAAUAGUGUAACUUCUAUAGUGGGGUGAUGGUAACCCCACAUAAGAAGGUUAAACGUAUUUUGGAUAUGUUGUAGGGACGGAGUCCCCUUUUUAUUGGAACUAGUGAUGUUUUAAAUGAAUGAAUGGUGGACUCUGAGAGUCCUUUGGUAA